CUUCGGUCCAUUUGGAGACAUUGUUAGUUUCGAUGCAAAAUAGGUGCACAGUUUGCACCUAAUGCACCAUAGUUUAAGAUACCAUUUUGGACGCACUUGUUUGUACUCCUAGGUGAAGGGGCUCAAGUGGAUGCUCGGUUCGGUAUGUUUGGAGAUAGUGCUAAUCUUGAUGCAAGAUAGGUAGAUGGUUUGCAAAUCAAUCUGGACUUACAUGAAGGAACUCCAAGAUGACGUGUGUCAUACGAAAUCUUGCUUCGGUCUGUUUGGAGACAUUGUUAGUUUCGGUGCAAGAU
rnacentral:lncRNA from 1 species